AAGGGAGAGGAAUAAGUAGAAAUCUACCCUCGGAUCGGGGAUAGCGGCGGGAAACUGCCGGUAAUACCCGAUAACGUCUUUGGACCAAAGGUGUGAUUCCGUCUGAGGAUGAGUCUACUUCCUAUUAGCUAGUUGGCGGGGUAAUGGCCCACCAAGGCAACGAUGGGUAGCAGGUGUGAGAGCAUGACCUGCCUCAUUGGGACUGAGACACUGCCCAGACACCUACGGGUGGCUGCAGUCGAGAAUCUUCGGCAAUGGACGAAAGUCUGACCGAGCGACGCCGCGUGCGGGAUGAAGGCCUUCGGGUUGUAAACCGCUGUCGGAGGGGAACAAAUGUACGGGGGUUCUCCCCUGUAUUUGAGUGAACCUAGGAGGAGGGAGAGGCUAAGCUCGUGCCAGCAGCCGCGGUAAGACGAGCUCUCCGAACGUUAUUCGGUAUCACUGGGCUUAAAGAGUUCGUAGGCGGUCUGGUAGGUGAGGUGUGAAAUCCCCCGGCUCAACCGGGGAACUGCGCUUCAAACCGCCGGACUUGAGGGAGACAGAGGUGGGCGGAACAGAUGGUGGAGCGGUGAAAUGCGUUGA
rnacentral:rRNA from 1 species